AUACUUACCUGGCAGGUGAGAUAUCGUGAUCACAGAGGUAGUUUUCCCAGGGCGAGACUCAUCCAUUGCACUCCAGAUGUGCUGACCCCUGUGAUUUCCCCAAGUUUGGGAAAAUCAACUGCACAAUUUGUGGUAGUGGAGGACUGUGUUUGUGCUUUCCCCUG